UUAAAUUGAAGAGUUUGAUCAUGGCUCAGAUUGAACGCUGGCGGCAGGCCUAACACAUGCAAGUCGAACGGUAACAGGAAGAAGCUUGCUUCUUUGCUGACGAGUGGCGGACGGGUGAGUAAUGUCUGGGAAACUGCCUGAUGGAGGGGGAUAACU
rnacentral:rRNA from 2 species